rnacentral:rRNA from 1 species
UACGUAGGGUGCGAGCGUUAAUCGGAAUUACUGGGCGUAAAGCGUGCGCAGGCGGUUCUGAAAGUCAGCUGUGAAAGCCCCGGGCUUAACCUGGGAAUGGCGGUUGAAACUACAGGACUAGAAUCUGGCAGAGGGGGGUGGAAUUCCACGUGUAGCAGUGAAAUGCGUAGAUAUCUGGAGGAACACCGGUGGCGAAGGCGGCAUCCUGGACCAAUUCUGACGCUGAGGAGCGAAAGCCAGGGGAGCAAACGGG